AGCAAGUCUCCGGAAGGGAAUGAGGCCGGGAAUUUCAAAUGAAAUGUAGUCAUUUGACUGCUAGGAGCAGUGAACUACAACUGCAGAGUCAUAAACAAAAAAUGGAAGAUGAAAGCAUGCGCAGAUGGCCUGACAGCUAAGAAUAUACUCAAGCCUGAAGUACAUUAUGGGCAGAGAAAGCACAGCGUCAUGCAGUGUAAGGCUUAAACAAAAGGUGGAUAACUGUCUGUUUGAAAGCCCAAAUCAAAUUUUAUUGGUAACAUACACAUGGUAAAUCAUCUGAUCAGAAAUGUUUUAAUAUUUGUAUCUUUUGAAGUUCAAUCUUUAAUCACAAGACAUUGCAUUACAGACAUCAAGCCAUAUUGUUUAUACAUUUCAACAUUAGCUCCCUCCCCCAAACACAGUUCCCAAUCCCAACAGAGACAAAAACAUGUCCAGAUAGGUGGAAAUUACAGUUUGUCCUACUGCACAUUUCCUGCACUACUCAUCUAAAAUAAAAAGCUACAGCCAAAACACUGCCAACAUGCAACUGAGCUUAAACAGAGCCUUUUGAAUACUAGGAGAUGACACAAAGCUGGUGAUGAAUUGGCUUCUUCUAUGAUAACUAGCUCCAUACCCGCACACAGCAUGCCAUGCCAAAGUCCAGUACAACCCUCCCUCCCCCUCCAGCCCCUCCCUCGACUGCUGGUGAGAGGCAGAUCACUAGUGCUGUGACGACAGGUUCCGGGCAGCCUAGGCGUAUCAGUGGUUGCUCAGUCCGACUACUUCUCUGGCUGCUCCACGGCCUUGGUUUCGCUCAUGUACUUAUCGAUCAGGUGUAAAGGCACUCCACGCUGCAUGAGCUCAGAGAAGGUAAAGCCCCCUGGGGGAGAAAGGAGAGACACUCAAUUUGUUGUUAGGAGCUAUAGAGAGAAAGUGAAAGAGAGAGCGAAGACGAUCAAUCUUUAACAGAGAAGAUCGUAAGAGUCCAACAGGAAAAUAGCAGAGGGUCAGUGUGCAACAUCGAAACAGACACUGAAACAGCGAAAAGAGGGUGAGUCUGCAACAAAGAAACAGAAGAGAGACACCAUACAGUACAAAAAAGAAGAGAUACCAAAGUGGACAGCAGUGAGGAGAGAAAAUAGAGACAGUGUCAGUAAAGGACAGGUGAAAUACGUCACUCUUGAGUCUGUGAGCAAAUCUAUAUCUGCCUAGGCUUACAGUGGCAGAGCUAUAGGAGCCAUGACAUGGCCAUUCACUAAGUAGGCCCAAAAUGCGCCAAGAAGCUCAGGAACAUUAACUGGAUUAAAGCCUUGUCUAGUACAUAAUAGAUGGUGCAUUGACAUAAAUGAUAAUAACCCUAUUGUUUCAAAUAUAGGCCUACUAUAGAUAUAUCAUCUACAGUGGGGCAAAAAAAGUAUUUAGCCAGCCACCAAUUGUGCAAGU